CAUCACGACCCCUCUGGGUGCAAAACGGGGUAAAAUGGUGCGAAAUCGGUGCAAACGGGCGCUGUGUCCGCAGGGGGCCAUGGAGGAGCGGCGCCAGGAGGGUCCCGGCGGCGGGGGCACCCGUGGGGGCCACCAAGAUGGCGCCCGUGGUGGCCACCAAGAGGUCGUCCAUAGGGACAAGCAAGAUGGUGGCUGUGGGGGCAACCAAGAUGGCGGCCGUGGGGACAACCAAGAUGGCGGCCACGGGGACAAGCAAGAUGGCAGCUACAGGGACAACCAAGAUGGCGGCCACAGGGACAACCAAGAUGGCGGCCACAGGGACAACCAAGACGGUGGCCAUGGGGACAACCAAGAUGGCGACCGUGGUGGCCACCAAGAUGUCACCCAUGGCCACGAUGUCACCCGUGGGGGCCACCAAGAGCACACCCAUGGGGGCCACCAAGAUGGCGACCGUGGCGGCCACCACGACGUCACCCGUGGCCACGGUGUCACCGAUGGGAGCCGCCAAGAUGUCACCCGUGAUGGCCACCGAGAGGACAGCCCCGGCGACGACCCGCUGCCACCGCCCCACAAGAAGUCGCGGCGCCGCCAGCGCUGUCCCACCCCCGUGUCACCGAGUGUCACCGCCACCAGGUCCCGGAGCAGGGCCAGAGCUGUCACCUCCAUCCGUGGUGUCACCUCCGCCGGUGUCACCUCCGCCGGUGUCACCUCCACCAGGUCCAGAGGUGCCGUUGUCACCGCGUCGGUCCCAGAUGCCACCGCCGCACCUGGGGAGGUCACCGCCGCGAGGAGCACCUCCGGAACACCCCAAAGCGUCACCGUCACCCGGUCCAGGGGUGUCACCGUCACCCGGUCCCGAGGUGUCACCGUCACCCGGUCGCGAGGCGCCGCCACCACCAGGGCCGCGUCCAAAGCCACCGGAGGAGCCACCACCGCCACGGACGCCUCCGAAACCACCGUCGGCGCGGUGACAACCACCAGAGGUACAACCGGCGGCACUACCGGCCGGGUGACAACCACCAGAGGUACAACCGG
rnacentral:lncRNA from 1 species